CCUACGGGAGGCAGCAGUGGGGAAUUUUGGACAAUGGGCGAAAGCCUGAUCCAGCCAUGCCGCGUGCAGGAUGAAGGCCUUCGGGUUGUAAACUGCUUUUGUACGGAACGAAAAGGUCUUUUCUAAUAAAGAAGGCUCAUGACGGUACCGUAAGAAUAAGCACCGGCUAACUACGUGCCAGCAGCCGCGGUAAUACGUAGGGUGCGAGCGUUAAUCGGAAUUACUGGGCGUAAAGCGUGCGCAGGCGGUUAUAUAAGACAGUUGUGAAAUCCCCGGGCUCAACCUGGGAACUGCAUCUGUGACUGUAUAGCUAGAGUACGGUAGAGGGGGAUGGAAUUCCGCGUGUAGCAGUGAAAUGCGUAGAUAUGCGGAGGAACACCGAUGGCGAAGGCAAUCCCCUGGACCUGUACUGACGCUCAUGCACGAAAGCGUGGGGAGCAAACAGGAUUAGAUACCCUGGUAGUCCACGCCCUAAACGAUGUCAACUGGUUGUUGGGUCUUCACUGACUCAGUAACGAAGCUAACGCGUGAAGUUGACCGCCUGGGGAGUACGGCCGCAAGGUUGAAACUCAAGGAAUUGACGG
rnacentral:rRNA from 1 species